rnacentral:rRNA from 1 species
CCCUUAGAUGCUCUGGGCCGCACGCGCGCUACACUGGUCGAUGCAACGAGUUUCUUUCCUUGGCCGACAGGCCUGGGCAAUCUUUGAACAUCGAUCGUGAUCGGGAUAGAUUCUUGUAAUUUUUGAUCUUAAACGAGGAAUUCCUAGUAAACGCAAGUCAUCAGCUUGCAUUGAUUACGUCCCUGCCCUUUGUACACACCGCCCGUCGCACCUACCGAUUGAAUGGUCCGGUGAAAUCUCCGGACUGGCGUGAGUCAGAGCAAUCUGACAAACACCGGAAAGUUGAUUAAACCUUACCAUUUAGAGGAAGGUGAAGUCGUAACA